AACACGUUCCUUAGAUCCACCUCUGGAGGGCACUCUGCUCUGAGCAGAAGCCCUCAGCAGCUUUUUAGCUGUACAGUUGGAGGUGCUUGAGUCAUUGGCGUGUGAGAGCAAUCUACCUGUUUCCCAGUUUACCUGCAACAUUGGCAAACCUGUUCUCUACAAAUAGGAAAUCACCCAGUGUUGCUAGCCAGGGGAACGGAUAUU